rnacentral:rRNA from 1 species
CAUCGGGAAGAGGGAAAAGGAGCAAUCCGCUUUGAGAUGGCCUCGCGUCCGAUUAGCUGGUUGGUGAGGUAACGGCCCACCAAGGCGACGAUCGGUAGCCGGACUGAGAGGUUGAACGGCCACAUUGGGACUGAGACACGGCCCAGACUCCUACGGGAGGCAGCAGUGGGGAAUAUUGCACAAUGGGGGAAACCCUGAUGCAGCGACGCCGCGUGGAGGAAGAAGGUCUUCGGAUUGUAAACUCCUGUUGUUGAGGAAGAUAAUGACGGUACUCAACAAGGAAGUGACGGCUAACUACGUGCCAGCAGCCGCGGUAAAACGUAGGUCACAAGCGUUGUCCGGAAUUACUGGGUGUAAAGGGAGCGCAGGCGGGCGAUCAAGUUGGAAGUGAAAUCCAUGGGCUCAACCCAUGAACUGCUUUCAAAACUGGUCGUCUUGAGUAGUGCAGAGGUAGGCGGAAUUCCCGGUGUAGCGGUGGAAUGCGUAGAUAUCGGGAGGAACACCAGUGGCGAAGGCGGCCUACUGGGCACCAACUGACGCUGAGGCUCGAAAGUGUGGGUAGCAAACAAGAUUAG